CGCUCGGUGGCACAGUUGGCAGCGCACCCGCCUUAUAAACGGGAGGACGCGGGUUCGAGUCCCGCCCGAGCGA
rnacentral:tRNA from 1 species